rnacentral:rRNA from 1 species
UACGUAGGGGGCAAGCGUUGUCCGGAAUCAUUGGGCGUAAGGCGCGUGUAGGCGGCUCGAUAAGUCUGCUGUGAAAGUCCAGGGCUCAACCCUGGGAUGCCGGUGGAUACUGUCGAGCUCGAGUCCGGAAGAGGCGAGUGGAAUUCCUGGUGUAGCGGUGAAAUGCGCAGAUAUCAGGAGGAACACCAAUGGCGAAGGCAGCUCGCUGGGACGUGACUGACGCUGAGACGCGAAAGCGUGGGGAGCAAACAGG